UCCGGCAGAGGCGAGCGGAGCAGGGCUCGGGGCUGAGGGGAGAGCGAGUCGGAACUGGGGGAGGCAGGAGCGGCCAGGCCCCGCCAGCCCCAGGGCGCAGCAGCAGCAGCAGGAGGAGGAGGGGGCUCGCCAGCGGGUCGGUGCCCGGCGCCCCCCCCCGGGGAGCCGCCCCUGCCGGGUCCCCCCCCCCCCGCCGCCCGGAGGAGCCGGGGCUCUGACAGCCCGAGAGGAGGAGCCGGGCAGCCGGGGGCACCAUGUCCUCCCCCAGCCCGGGCAAGAGGCGGAUGGACACCGACGUGGUCAAGCUUAUUGAGAGCAAACAUGAAGUCACAAUCCUAGGAGGACUCAAUGAAUUUGUAGUGAAGUUUUAUGGACCACAAGGAACACCAUAUGAAGGUGGAGUGUGGAAAGUUAGAGUGGACCUUCCUGAUAAAUACCCUUUCAAAUCCCCAUCUAUAGGAUUCAUGAAUAAAAUUUUCCAUCCCAAUAUUGACGAAGCGUCAGGAACUGUAUGUCUAGAUGUAAUUAAUCAAACUUGGACAGCUCUCUAUGAUCUUACCAAUAUAUUUGAGUCGUUCCUGCCCCAGUUGCUGGCCUAUCCUAACCCCAUAGAUCCUCUAAAUGGUGACGCUGCAGCCAUGUAUCUCCACCGACCGGAAGAAUACAAACAGAAAAUUAAAGAAUACAUUCAGAAAUAUGCAACAGAAGAAGCACUAAAAGAACAGGAAGAAGGUACCGGGGACAGCUCAUCAGAGAGCUCCAUGUCUGACUUCUCGGAAGAUGAGGCCCAGGAUAUGGAAUUGUAGUAGAAGAAGCAACCUGCUUUUCAGAGAGACUAUUAUUUCCUAACCAUGAGAAGCAGACUAUAAUAUUCAUAUUUAAACAAAGCAAUUUUUUUUAUUACUAAACAAGGUUUUUAUGAAUAAUAGCAUUGAUAUAUAUAUAUCACCCUUUAGAUCUUGAUUUCUUGGUCAUUUCUCAAACCCAAGGUAUAUAGCAUAUUCCCACAUUCCAUUUUGGUAGCAAUAUGCAGCCCGAAUGCAUGCAUUCAUAAUUCCAUUUGGUCAAGUCAACUUGUGUGCUACUGAACUGUCAGCUCAAACAGCUGCUCUGAUAGGUAGGGACUUAGAGAUUUCCUUUUUAUCAGUGGUUCCGCAGCUACCACCUUGGAUGAUAAGAUGGAACAGAGCUUUCGCAAAGUAAAAAGUCUAGGGGAUAAUGUAAGAACGCUUUUAGAUCAGACAUUGAAAUAAAAAGUGCUCCUUCAGGUCAAACUCGCUAUCAUAGUUUAUGUGGAGUUGCAUUAAAAAAGUGCACGGAGUUAUUCAGAGCAUCGAAGCUUAAAAAAAAAUGACUUGGAUUUUAAGUACACUUUUAUAUUGGACUUCUGCCCACCCUCUGAACUAUAGGGACCUACAACCACUCAUCUGUUUGCUUUUGGGACUUUGGAAAGCCUUCAUCUGGACUUUACUCAUUUUCUUGGUCUGGAUUAUGAGCUGUUCCCUUUUUUCAGGGGGAAAAAACACAAUGCUACAUGAACAGUGCUUUAAUUUACCUGGAGCACAUACAAAGGCAAACUCUUUGUCAUAGUGAAACUGCUACCCUGUAAUAGCUUCAAGCUUUCCUUCUUGCUUGAAGUAUGAUCAAACACCUUGCAAACUCUCUCUCCAUCUCCUAAAAGAGGGUUCUCUGACCAGAUGGACUAGCCUUGCUGAGAGCUUCAGACCCAUGAAGAUUGACCCAUUGGCCAUAGUUCAUGAAUCCGUUGGCACAUUCUCUCUCCCAUUUUUGUUUUCCUGUUUUCCCUUCUGCAGCAGCUUGGUAGCCAUCUGCUUGUGUGUACAACAGACCAAACUAAAGUUUAACAAAGAAAUGCUCUAGGAAUAUUUGAUUGAUAAAAAUAAAAACCAUAAAUUGGGGAAACAAUUGAAUAAUAUUUUCAAGAAUUCUUCUGAAUGAAAAAUUUGAUUUCGUCUGGUGUAUUUCAACAUACUAAGUUUUUUUAUUAUUUUUAUUUAAUGGUAACUGUAUUACUCUUCCCCCAGUCUAUUCAAUGACCAGGUUUAACACAGUGAACACUUUCAUUCAUCUCUCAUUUGAAGAAGCCAGUUUUCUAAUAAAAAGGUGUCCCGUCCUAAGCUUCCAAAAGAAUUACAAUUAGAGCUGAAAAUCUAAGGUAGACUCCUGGAAAAGUAAGCACAUGUUUUACUGGGUUGAUUUUCUAGGUUGUGAAGAUGCAGUUUGGCUUCUAUUAGUUGUCCAAGUUGCUCUGAUUCCUCUGCACGUUACUUUGUGCAUACAGGCAGCCGAAGCAAGGUAUUUGUGGGUAUAGAUCUGGAACUUCUCCAGCAAGAUGUUUCCUUGGAUAUUAAUGGAGCUUUACACAUGAAACCUAUAGCAUUGCCUGCAGCAUGACGAAAAGAUCAUCUUCUUGGUAAAUUUCAUGUUUGAUCAUUCUCCCCUGUAGUGAUUGCAGCAGGAAAGGAAGCCCUACAGUAAAUUGUCAAAACACCUGCAGUUCAAAGGAAUAUGGCCUAGUGUAAAACUCUUGUAGGGAAUAAAUUCAAAUGGAUUUCCCUUCUUUCUAGACUGGAACAGCUGCUUAUUGCCUCAUUCUGCCCUUUUUCCCAUCUUUCACCUCCCUCCCCAUCUCAAACAAGAACCGUCUGUAAAUAAACUACACACCCCUAGUCUGGAAGAGAAAAGUGGAAUCGUUUUGAAGCGGGAUGACCAGUUUUUUUUGGUUCAGGUUUCUUUUGAAAUGCUAAUGUUCUUUUUCUGAAAGAACCACUGCCAUUCUCUUCCCUGUUCAGAUGACUGAAUCUCAAAGCAUCAGCCCAGGUGGAACUUAACAAGCCUACUCCAACAUGACUACGUUUGAUCCACUGUAUGUAGAUUCGUGCUUUCAGUGAAUCCCUGAAUAUGAAAGCUUGUUAGUAACCUAUUCUAGCUGUUAUGGAAGUAGGCUCUUGGCUUCACGUCUGAUAGCUUGUCACCUUGUUCUUGAGCUUUGUGUGACUUAUACAAAUUGAGAACUAUCAAAGCUGCCCCAGAUCCGCAGAAGCGUCUCAAGAAGCUACCUACAUUGCCAACUAGGUUAAACUUGAAUUUAAUCAGGCAUGUUUUCAACUCUCCUUGAGGUUUCCAAGUGUAUUUUCUUGGUUCAUUUGACUUUCCAUAAUAAUUUUAGACUUUAAAAAUAAAAAUUAAGGAAGGGAGUCUUGGCGAAAGCAAAUCUUAAAGGAGUGGCAUCUUGAUAUGAACUGAGUGGAAUAAUAAUGCUUUGUAAAUUAACUGGGAAUGUGUAAACCCUCGGUCAGAGGGGGGAAAAUGGAAGUUAAAUGCUAUUUCCGUUACCCCUAACGUUCAGACUGGCCACUUAGGUUUAUGGGAAUAUUACGUACAUAGUCACUUCUGUAAUCUCCCAUAUCCGUGUUUGAUCUGCCUGCAGUGCACACAAACCAGGGAGAUGGAGUCCCUUUUCCCCAUAAGGGAUGAGAAAUGCUGUAACCUGUGCUGCAGUUGGGUUGCCCUGGCUUUUUCCCCCCUCCCAGCAAGACUAAUCACAGGGCAUUCUGAUGUAAGUGGUAGCUCUCAGGUAUGCAAGGACACCCCCCACCCCCACCUUUGAUGUCAGUUCUAUACCACAACAUGCAGGGGGCAUUGAGGAGAGGGCAGGGCUGUUGGUUGGUUUUUCUUUUGCUUCUUUUUGCUCAUCUGAAUUCCGCUGGCACUUUAGCAGGAGCGUGUGCAGCAUGAGAAAUGGCCAUUAUUUUACUGACUGUAUUUGAUACCUGUUGUGUGAUACUUGAAGAGAUAAAGGGUGUUUUCCCUUCAUUUGAGUCUAAGCUUUUUUCUUUUCUUUUUUUUCCCUUUUUUCUUGCAUUGUGAUGAUGUAGUGGGCAUGCCUGUCACCAUGACAAAUGCCUCUUCUCUAAGAAUAUAACCUCUCAAAUAGUUGUGUAUAAUUAAAGAACUGUAAACUUUUUUAAAUAAAAGAUGUAUAUACCUUGACACUUGACUGGUACUUGAUCAGUAAGGUCUCGCUCUCAUAGGCAGCAUCCCCAGUGCCUCCCGUCUUUUAAACCUCCAGCCCCCGAGAUUCAACGGCAGCUGUUAACCAGACUGCCCAAGAUUCUGCCUUCAAAACCAGUCCAGGUUUUUUCUGUAGGAGAUGCUCUGGUGGAAGAACAUCCUGUUGCAUAUGCAGAGUGUCUGACUGCAGUGUUUGAUGUAACUAGGUUAUUAAGUCAGGAAGUUUGUUAAAAAUAGCUGUACUGUACCAUUGUGAUGGGUGCAGUAAAAGAACCUGAUUAGACUAGUAUAAAUUGGUUUAUUUGGUUGUAGGCUCAUUGGCAGUUAAGGUUUGUGAAACUUGCCUCUGGCCAACACUAGAUGGCGCUAUUUGCCACAUUCUCCACAAAGUGGUCUGGCAGAUUUCAACCAAAACUGCUGUAAAUUCGAAUUAUGCCCUAAAUGUGUUGGUAAUGUGAGCAAGCAAAUGAGCAGGUUUCUUCAUCUUGUUAGAAUGGAUGUUAAGUGAGCUCUUCUAGGAAAAUACCUAAUGCAUUAUAUGUACAUAGAUCAUGCCAAGUACUUUAUAAAAUGUGAAUUGGGGGAGGGUGGGUUUCCAAGGUGUUUGCAGUUUAAAUUGGCCAAGGACAAUGUGGAGACAACGGUGCCAAAGCUAGAAAGCUGACACCUCAACAGUGAGAUCUGUGCAGGAAGGCUUUGGGGAAAGUGGAUUUGAAGGGUGGGUGGAUAUAAAAGUAUUGACUUACAAGCACAGUGUGUGUCAGUCAUUCCAAUUUUACACCUAAAGGACAUACAUAACCAAUGCUCUUUCAAUAAGUUUCUCUAAAUGUAAGAAGAAAUGAAGAGGUCUGUACAUUUUUCCUGAAAACUGAAUCUGAAAUGUAUUAAACAUAAAAGCAAAUGGCCUCAAUUCAGAAGCUAGCUCAGCCAUUCAGUAACAAGUACUAAGGGAUUCCAAUUGCUUGGUCAGCAGGUGAAACAAAGUUUUUUAGCUUCAAAAUACAUACUUGUCCUUGGAGUUUCGGUCUUUUUACGAAGCCAGUGCCCUAUUAAACAUGCCGCACAGCAGUUAUGUUGGAUGCACCAAUGUAAUCUGGGCUUUGUACAAGGCAGGAGAGCCCUAUGUCAAAUGUGUGUGUAUGAAACGUUUCCACCUGGGUUGGGCUCAUGCCUGUUCAUCACAAUCUGUUAAUGGACCCCCUUCAUCUCGUCUGUUACCCAUUGUUGUGUCAUGUCUGAACUAGAUUGUAAGUUCGUUGGGGCAGAGACAUGUAUCUAGUGCAUAUGGCAUUGUACAAUGCUCGAGACACAAUAUUUGCAAAGAUUUUCCAUAGCCUUCCCCUUGCAGAUCUGCUUCUUGUGGUUUCAUUAGCUAAGUUCACAUCUACCAGGGGACUUGCUUAUUCUAAAAAAGCGAGUGGAACUACUUUGAGCUCUCCAGAGAAAUAUGCCCGUGGUUGAAUUCUGGAGAAAAUCCUUUACGUUUUCCAAUAGUUGUGGUUGUCUUCGUUUGUCUAGUGUUUUGAUAAGGUAUGUGUGUGCUGGGUUUAUUCCACUUACAGGUCUACCUGAAUUCCCCCCUCUAUUUUCAAUGGGAAACACUAUUUCAGCCCUAUCCUAAGCAGCCAUCGCAGUUGAAAUACAUGGUUUAGCAGCUGCCUUGCUAUACUUAGUAUUUGUAUUACAGUAGGGCUGGCCAGGUUGUCCCACCAAGAGGUCUCAUUGUGCUAGUACAAACAUGCUAGGACAGUCCCUCCACUAAAGAGCUUAGUCAAAACAAGAUGCAACAAGUGUUUGUAAUGGGGGAGAAAGGACCAGUGUAAAUGUGAUAGGAGCAUGUGGUCACAUAAACCACCAAUGGCUGAGUCCAUUUCUUAAACUGUGGUGCACCUCUCAGGAUUACACUACAGAUCUAUGUACCAAGAGAAAAUUAAAAUCCUUAUCACGUCUACAAUGCAGUGCACUCUCCUAUUAUCCAGUUCAGUCCUUUUCUUGCUCCUACCGCCAUAUAUUUCUUGUAUGAUCUGAUAACACAAAUGUGGUGAUGAAUAUAUAUUUACUGAAAAAUAAUUUGAAAGUUAAUUCACUGCGGUUUCUUCAGCUGGUAAAUGGGUAAGAGACACAAGACGUAGCUUUAAAUUCAGAAGAAAAAUAACUGCUGUUAUGAAGUACUUUUUAAAGGGUUUUGUUUGUAUUAUUUCUGAAAUCAUGGAACACAAUACAGUAUAAAUAGAUAAAA